rnacentral:rRNA from 1 species
AUUGAACGCUGGCGGCAGGCCUAACACAUGCAAGUCGAGCGAGCGGCGGACGGGUGAGUAAUGUCUGGGAAACUGCCUGAUGGAGGGGGAUAACCACUGGAAACGGUAGCUAAUACCGCAUACCAUCUGAUGUGCCCAGGUGGGAUUAGCUAGUAGGUGUGGUAACGGCUCACCUUGGCGACGCUCCCUAGCUGGUCUGAGAGGAUGACCAGCCACACAGGAACUGAGACACGGUCAAGACGCAUACGAAAGGAAGCAGUGGGGAAUAUUGGAAAAUGAGCGCAAGCCUGAUGCAGCCAUGCCGCGUGUGGGAAGAAGGCCUUCGGGUUGUAAAGCACUUUCAGCGGGGAGGCGUUACCCACAGAAGAAGCACCGGAUAACUCCGUGCCAGCAGCCGCGGUAAUAC